GCAGCUGAACAUGAAUCAGCAAAGUGUCCAGGUGGCCAAGAAGUCCAGUGGCAUCCUGGCCUGUAUCAGAAAUUUUGUGGCCAGCAGGACCAGCGCAGUGAUUGUCCCUGUAUUGGGCACUGGUGAGGCCACUCCUGGAAUCCUGUAUUCCAGGGGCCCAAAACUGGGCCCCUCACUACAAGAAGGAAUUUAAGGUGCUGGAGUGUGUCCAGAGAAAGGCAAUGGAGCUGGGGAAAGGUCUGGAGCACAAGUAUGAUGAGAAGCAGCUGAAGGAGCUGGAGGUGUUUAGCCUGAAGUAAAGGAGGCUUAGGGGAUGCCUCAUUACUUUCUACAACUGCCUGAAUGAGGCUGAAUUGAGGUUGGCCUCUUUAAUCAAUGACUGAUAGGAUGAGAAGAAAUGGCCUCAAGUUGCACCAGGGAAGAUUAAGGUUGGAUAUUAGGGAAAGAUUCUUCACAGAAAAUUUGUCAAGCUCUGGAACAGGAUGUUCAGGACAGUGGUAGAGCCAUCACCUUUGGAGACACACAGAAGUCAAAGGAAUUGUCUGAGGCUGAAAUGAAAUCAAUAUUAGAGUACCAUUCAGAGUGUUUUCAUGAUCGUCAUCCAAAGGUCAAACUUUUUAUGCCAUUGUACCUGGAGACAGAAACAAAGAUAUCUAAGCUUUACUUAUUUUCACCUGACACUGAAAUAGAAAUGCCAUGUCUACAAAUCUCAGAUGUUCCAGUACCAAAUAGCUGACAAAUAAGGAGGAUAGAAAAGAAAAAAGAAAAAGCAAAAAUAAAGAGGAUAAC